rnacentral:lncRNA from 1 species
UUUUCAUCAAUUAGGAUAUUUUUGAAGUUUGGAAUGGUAUAUUAGAUAUUAUUUAUAAUUUUUUAGAAAAACUUCAAAUACCAUCCCUAUGGUUUCACAAUUUUUUAUUUUAGUAUCUUAUGGUUUAAAGUAUAUCAAUUUAGUACUCUGUAAUUUUAUUUUUCUUUUUUUAUUAUCCUCUCCACUAAUUUUUUUCGUUAAAUCAAUGAUAAAGUUAAAACUAAACGUAGCAUUUGGUGCGAGAACAAUGGGGGAAUAAGCCCUUAUUCCCCCCUUUAUUCCAAAUGCCGCGUUUGGUGCCCGAGAACAGUAGUUUUUGCGUUCCUGGAAUAAGCUAAUAUAAGGCUGAAACUGCUGUUUCACUCUUUUCCUAGAACAAGCUUAUUCCCAGAUGAGAAUAAGGUUAAUUAAAGUCUAAAUUUAAUUUUAAUAACAUUAAAUCAUUAAUUAAUUUAAUUAAUAUAUUUAAAUUAUUAUUUAUUGCUUAAUUAAUAAAAUAAUUAAUUAAUUAAUUAGAAUUAAUUAUUAAUAAUUAGAUAAUAAUAAUUAUUAAUUUAUUAUUUAUAAUUAAUUAUUCAUAAUUAUUAUUCUUAAUAAUUAGAUAAUUGAUAUUAUUAUUAAUUUAUUAUUUAUAAUUAAUUAUUAAUAAUUUUUAAUAAUUAUUAUGAUUUGUUAAUAAAUAUUAUUAUUAUUAAUUAGAUAAUCGAUAUUAUUAUUAAUUAAUAAUUAUUAAUAAUUAUUACUAAUAAUUAUAUAAUCGAUAUUAGUAAUUUAUUAUUUAUAAUUAAUUAUUAAUAAUUAUUAUUCUUAACAAUUAGAUAAUUGAUAUUAUUAUUAAUUUAUUAUUUAUAAUUAAAUAUUAAUAAUUUUUAUAAUUAUUAUUUGUUAAUAAAUAUUAUUAUUAAUAACUAGAUAAUCGAUAUUAUUAAUAAUUAAUAAUUAUUAUUAAUUAUUACUAAUAAUUAUAUAAUUGAUAUUAUUAAUUUAUUAUUUAGAAUUAAUUAUUAAUAAUUAUUAUUAUUUAUAAUUAAUUAUUAAUAAUUUAUUUAUUAUUUAUUUUUAAGUAAUAUUUUGAUGUUAAUUAAUUAGAUAAUAUAAGUUUAAUUUUAAAUUAUAACUCUUAUUCCUCUUCUUCCAAUCUAACCAUCCAAACGCUAUUUAACUUAUUCCUAAAAACAACCUAAUUUUCAUCCAAACACAAAAUUGGUCUAGUUAUUAUUUAUACCUGAACUUGUACCUAUUUCUGGAAUAAGCAGUUCUUACUUAUACCUGAACCAAACGCAGAAGGUACUAAAGUGAAUAUUCGAUAAAACUAAGUGGAAUAUUUGAAGUUUUUUGUAUGUAAUUUAACGUAAUAUUAACGGAGGAGCUGAUAAAAGAAAAAAAUAAAACCGCAGGGUACUAAAUUGAUACACUUUAAAUCACGUAAUACUAAGUGAGAAAGUGCGAAACCACAGGGGUGGUAUUUGAAGUUUACCCUAAUUUUUUUAAAAUAAAUUAAAAGGGUAAACUUCAAAUACCACUCCCUGUGGUUUUGCACUUUCUCACUUUAGUACCCUGUACUUUAAAGUGUAUCAAUUUAGUACCUAUGGUUUUAUUUUCUCUUUUCGUCAGCCUUUUUGUUAACUUUUCGUUAGAUCAUAUACAAAAAAACUUUAGAUGCUUGACCUAUAGUUUAUCGAAUAUUCACUUUAAUACCCUUUAGUUUUAACUUUGUCACUGACUUAAUGAAAAAAAAUUAGUGGAAGAAAUAACAAAAAGAUAAAAUAAAACCACAGGUACGAAAGUAAUACACUUUAAACCAUAAAGUACUAAAGUGAGAUAGUGAGA